GAGCCUCAAACCCGUGUCCAUAUUGUGUGUGUGAAGAAGCAUCGAAGCGCGGCAGCCAUGUUCAGCGUGGCAUUUCGGAAGGCUUGUCAGGGGUGGAGAAGCGGGGCGGGUUGCUGUUCUUUCACCUGACACUAAAGCGCCAUGCCGGAAGCACUGAGUCUGAUACGUCGGAACCAGUCUCCACCGUGUGGUUUGGUCUUGAUUUCCACUGGUACUCUGGGGUCUUGGAUAAGUCUCUGGACCUCGCCUUUGUCAUUUGCGAAGUCGAUAGGUUCCAAUAGAGAUUUUCCCAGAAUCAUUCAACUAAAAAUAGAGAACUUUUUUUUUUUGAGAGGAAGGACGGGGGCGCAGUUAAAGAUGUUAAUGUUAAGUCAUCCCUUCUGUGAUUUCGGGACAUUAUCUUUGCACGCCAUGUGAAGAUGUGCUUGCUUCCUUGUCACCUUCCGCCAUGAUUGUAAGUUUCCUGAGGCCUCCCAGGAAGCAGAAGCCUGUACAGCCCACAGAACCAUGACCUGAUGAAAUCUCUUUUCUUUAUAAAUUACCCAGUCUCAGAUCUUGCUAUGCUUGUCAUUGUGUAAGCAGCAAACUUGCAGUGACCAGUUGGAUUCCACCCCCCUGAUGUUGGUGGUGUGCUCUUGGGGAGAUGUCUUCCAGACAGGCAAAGAAGAGUGACAUCAUCAGAGCAUGGACGACCUCAAAGAUAUUCCAGCUAUGGUCUGUGAUAUUUUUCCAGCAUUCUUUCAAUCGAUGUCAGUCUGAAGUUUACAUGGCUAAUUGUGUGCUCAGGAUUGUCCUUCUUGAACAGGAUGUAGGAGUCCAGCACUGUAAUUUUUAGAAGGCAGUGUUCCCCACACUAGAGAUACAGAGUUGAAAAAGACACACAGGAUCCCUACUUCAUGAAGCUUACUUUAUUGUAGA
rnacentral:lncRNA from 10 species